GGGGCCUCCUUCCGGCUGGCGCGCCCGGGACGUGACCUCGCGGGCGCGCGCCCGAGCCACCUUGGGGGAGGUGCCCGCGCCCCCCGCACAGGAGGUUUCAUGCCCCGUGUGGGCUUUGAACUCAAGACCCUGAGAUCAAGAGUUGCAUGCUCUACUGACUGAGCCAGCUGGGCGCCCCUCUCCUGCAUGUUUAAGUGGAGUGUUCCCGGCCACAAAAAGGAACGAAGCACUGAUGCCUGUUACCACACGGACAAACCUUGGAAACGUGCUGAGUGCAAGAAGCCUGAACAAAAGGCCAUGUGCUGUAUGAUGCCACUGAUUCGAAGCAUCCCGCAUUGGCAGAUCCUUAGAGGCAGAAGGCACCCGAGUAGCAGGACUGGGGAUAGGGGGAUGGGGGGACUCGGGAGGAACAGUAAAUGCUAAUGGGGACUGGGUGUCUUGGGGUGUUGAAAAUGUUCUGAAUCGAUUGGACACAAUAUGGUGAAGAUUCUGGAAACUGUUGGAUUGUGUGCUUUAAGAUGGUAGCCUGCUACGUGGUCGGGGUUCUCUGGGCACUACCCUGGUUCUAGGGAAAUGAUGUAGAGAUUUCAGGCUCAGCUUAUGAGUCAUCCCUGAGAGAGGCCCCCACCCCGGUAACCGCCCCCACACCGCCCCCUGUCACUGGUUGUCGGUCUCAGCCCUUCUGUCUUUCC